rnacentral:tRNA from 1 species
GGUGGAGUGGUGUAGCGGUUAGCACACCCGACCGGACAUUAGGAGGUCCAGAGUUCAAAUCCUGGCUCCGCCG